AAUGAACGUUGGCGGCGUGGAUUAGGCAUGCAAGUCGAGCGUGUACCCCGCAAGGGGGAAAGCGGCGAAAGGGACAGUAAUACGUAGGUACCAACCUUGGGGUCAGGGAUAGCCGCGGGAAACUGCGGGUAAUACCUGAUAACAUCUUCGGAUCAAAGGUGUGAUUCCGCCCUUAGACGGGCCUGCGUCCUAUUAGCUUGUUGGUGAGGUAAUGGCUCACCAAGGCCGUGAUGGGUAGCGGGUGUGAGAGCACGACCCGCGUCAUUGGGACUGAGACACUGCCCAGACACCUACGGGUGGCAG
rnacentral:rRNA from 1 species